AAAUCUUUAAACAAACAGGAUCAAACAAUGGAAAGCAUGUAAAAGAGUGGUUAAGGGCUCAGGCUGGAGUGACAGCUAGUUUCCAGUUCUAGCCAUGCCAUACACUAGCUGUGUGACCUUGCACGUAUUGCGCCACCCCGGAGAUCUAUUUCCUCAUCUGUCAAACUGAGACUACCUUCAUCACGUAGAAGAUCCGGUGAACUAACCUGCGUAAAGGCUUUCGACACAGGGCCUGACGGCUGCCAGGAUUUUCCCUUUCUGUCCUGGACCACAAGAAGGUCAUAAAGUCUCUUUCCUCUGACUUCUGACGUUAGAUGGCAAUGUGGAUCUUGAAGAAUUGCUCUGUUAUUCUGAGGUGGACACAAACUGGCAAGGACAUCAGAGUUGGUGAAAUCCCAACCCAAGCCAAGAACCCAGAGAGCCUCCCUGGGCAGCGACAUUGGUGGCCAAAGUAGGAACAGGAGCGUGGCAUGGGUGUUGAAAUCAUGACCCUGAGAUCA